GAUGAACGCUGGCGGCGUGCCUAAUACAUGCAAGUCGAGCGAACAGACGAGGAGCUUGCUCCUCUGACGUUAGCGGCGGACGGGUGAGUAACACGUGGAUAACCUACCUAUAAGACUGGGAUAACUUCGGGAAACCGGAGCUAAUACCGGAUAAUAUAUUGAACCGCAUGGUUCAAUAGUGAAAGACGGUUUUGCUGUCACUUAUAGAUGGAUCCGCGCCGCAUUAGCUAGUUGGUAAGGUAACGGCUUACCAAGGCAACGAUGCGUAGCCGACCUGAGAGGGUGAUCGGCCACACGGGAACUGAGACACGGUCCAGACUCCUACGGGAGGCAGCAGUAGGGAAUCUUCCGCAAUGGGCGAAAGCCUUACGGAGCAACGCCGCGUGAGUGAUGAAGGUCUUCGGAUCGUAAAACUCUGUUAUUAGGGAAGAACAAAUGUGUAAGUAACUAUGCACGUCUUGACGGUACCUAAUCAGAAAGCCACGGCUAACUACGUG
rnacentral:rRNA from 1 species